UACAGAGGGGGCAAGCGUUGUUCGGAAUUACUGGGCGUAAAGGGCGCGUAGGCGGCCGCCUAAGUCGGACGUGAAAUCCCUCAGCUUAACUGGGGAACUGCGUCCGAUACUGGAUGCUGGAUUCGGGAGAGGGAUGCGGAAUUCCAGGUGUAGCGGUGAAAUGCGUAGAUAUCUGGAGGAACACCGGUGGCGAAGGCGGCAUCCUGGACCGAUAUGACGCUGAGGAGCGAAAGCCAGGGGAGCAAAGCGGG
rnacentral:rRNA from 1 species